UUAUGGAUAGGUGAGAGAAAAACUUUUGACUCUCCUCCAGCAGGUUAACUAAAACUGAUUCCCUAUAAUUUUUGUAGAUCCCACUGACACGUGGGCCCCAUAUGUCAUUGUCUAUUUCUCUUCUCCAUUGCAUCGCUGCAUCCUUAUCUUCUCUCUCUCUCUCCAUCUUUCCACUGCCGGCGGCACACCGUACUGGAUCUCCUCGACCUGCUCCGAAGGACUGGAUCUCGUCCUCGUCGGCAACACGGCCGGCCGCACCAGCAGCACUCUCGUCGGAGGAGAAGCACCACCGGCGGCCGGCGGGUUCAGAGGCGCUGCGGGGAAGGCCGCAGGGAGACUGAGGAAGGCAGCGAGGCCAGGGGAGCGCCUAGGAGGUCGGGGUGGCACCCGCAGAAUCGAUGGAGGCGCGGACCGAAUUCGUGGCGGCAGCCGGCGGCGUUUUGGGUGUGUGGGAGGCAUCGUCGAUCACGAUUCGGCCUAGGAUGGGUUCGUGGGAGUCAACGUACGCGCGGGGUGGUCGCGGAGACUCUGGGCAUGGCCGCCGGUGGAGGAUGGCGGGCGCAGCCAAGUCAGGCCAGGCGGGUCGGGCCGGAAACGUCCUGCAAUCGGGCGGUUUAUUUCCUGCACGAGCUUUUCCUCGUUUAUGGAAUGGCUCGUCCAUUCCGUACAUUCGGGGAAGAGAGAGAAAAUAGGAAAUUUUCUAAAAAUUAUAGGGAUUGGGAACCAUUCAGAGAAUCUGUUGGAGCUGUUUCUUUCAACCUUUAGGAAAUGUUGACAGUUUUUUAGGAAAAGAUGGAUUUUAGGGAACUUGCUGAAGAUGCUCUAAUCACUAAAACAUGUUGUUGUGAUGUAUCAUUGGUGUAAUAUUUGGUAUCAAAUAUUUGAGAAAAAUUUCAUCCACUAGUGCAAACUAGAGGCGUGUAAAUAAGACACUUGGAUGCUCAUGUCGCCAGUCAUCAUCCCAUAGAAGUGUAUCAAGGGUUACCUUUCUUUUCCAAACUUCAUUUGGCUUUUUUGUUGGGAGUAUGCCAAAUAUUUGCUCAAGUGAAGCACAUUGCAGUGUGAGUGCUAUGAAAGCUUUGGUCUUGAGGUAUAAAUGAUCUUUGCUUGCCACUGCCAAAAGAGGAAUUGUUCUCGAAACAUAAUGUCAGUAACAUAUGAAGCUGCUGGUGAUGCAAAAGCAACCAAGAAUACGAAUUACCAUGAGAAGUCGACAACUGGAAUAGCUAUUCCUUCGAGUUAGUUCCAAUUGCUACUAUUUCAACUUCCAUAAUUCUAUAUUGUACAUAACCCAACCCAACCAUUUCAUUAGGCCAUUUUGUACCAGGAAAAUUGGACCCAUUAAACCUUAAGCCCAGCCCAUUAGUAAUCCUAAUUCAUUCCUUGUUUGGUAGGUUAGCUUGAACAACAUCAGCCACUGAUACUAUUUUCAAUGGCUCAGAUACAUGUGAUUAAUGCAUCAACCACUAUAAAAGGGAACUGGUAUAGCGCUUACCCUAAGCCAUAUUCCUUUCUCGCCGAUAGUGCGCAGCACCCUCCUCCUUCCGCCCUCUUUUCUCUUGAUACUCUUCGCUGAUCCAUCGGGUUGAUAGUUGAUACCAAGUUACUAUUCAAAGCUAACCGAGGAGAGUUGAUGGAAAUCGGUAUACCUUGAUGAAGAAAAGGGUGUAAGUUCCUCAUAUUUCCGUGCAUGUAUUACAACAGGCAAGAGAAAGCUUCUGAAUCCAGCAUAGUGUACGCACACCUGGAAUUGCAACUUGUUCCAGCUGCCUUCCACUUCCUGUUGCAGAUAGGAUUUUUGGUAGGAUACAACAUUGUUAGCUAGGGAUGGAAAACUUUUCAUUUCUUCAAGGUCCAAUUGGUCAAUUCUCCAUGCAUUAUCGCACUAGAGAUUCUGUGAUAGGUGACUCUCCAUUUCCUCGGGGUCCAAUUGGUCCCUAUCCCAAUAUGCAUCAUCCUACUGGUGGUUCUGCAGUAGGUGACUUAAUUAGACCCUGCUCCAUUCUACAUAAUCCCCCUGGAGGUUCUGCUGUAGGUGACUUGACUGGACAUUCCGUUAUGCAUGAUCCCACUUGAGGUUCUCCUCUAGGUGACUUAGUUGGAUCCCAUUCCAUUCUGCAUCAUCCUACUAGAGGCUCUGCGAUAGGUGAAUUUCUAUUUUCUCGAGCUCCAGUUAGUUCCUUCUCCACUCUGCAUCAUCCCACUAGAGGUUCUGCAAUGGGUGGUGAAAUGCCCAAUGCUAACAUGACCAACUGUUUCAUGGAGCAAACAGAAAAAAAGAAGUAUAAUGUAUUAUUAAUUCUUGAUUCUCCUCCAAAGGAGUUGAUAAUUCUUGACUCGGAUGAUGAGGAUGGAAACUCUGGAAAAACACAAGUUCCUUCUUAUCCUACGAAGGAGUUGAUAAUUCUUGACUCGAAUGAUAGAAAAACACUACUUCCCCCUUAUCCUACGAAGGAGUUAAUAAUUCUUGAUUCAUAUGAUGAGGAUCGAAAUCCUCCUUGCCAGAGAAAACGUAAGAUAUCAGAGGUCAGUUCCCAGGUUAAUAGAGAUGCCUCAAAUGAUCCAA